GUGCCGAACAUUUCUUUCUAUAUUGAAAGAACACUUUGAGGAGAGCUGCCUAGUCUUUGUUUCCAACUACUUUUGGAUUCCAGCACAAGACAAUGACUUGACUGUUUAAUACUGCAGAACUGGACAAGACAACAGCUGGAACUGGGAGUGGAGGGUAAAAAAAAGUGACCCACUGGCCCCAUCCAUUUCACCAUGACACCAAGACCAACAUUAAAACCAACUAAAACACUUCACACCAACACCACAACAGCUGCUCCAGGCUUCCUGCCCUCUUUCCUGGACAGGAUUCCUUUGCCAAGAUGGGCCAUCUAUGCUAUAUUUGCUGCCGUCAUCCUGCUUAUUCUUAUCUUUGUGAUAUGCUGCUGUGUAAAAUGCUGCUGCAAAGAGAAAAAGAAGAGGAAGAAGAAGCUGGAUCAGAAGAUCAGUAUGAAAGGGAUCUCAGGAACUACAACCGCA
rnacentral:lncRNA from 1 species